GGCAUGGUUGUCGGUCAGCUCGUGUCGUGAGAUGUUGGGUUAAGUCCGCAACGAGCGCAACCCUCGACCUUAGUUGCCAGCAUUCAGUUGGGCACUCUAAGGUGACUGCCGGCUAAAAGUCGGAGGAAGGUGGGGAUGACGUCAAAUCAUCAUGCCCCUUAUGACCUGGGCUACACACGUGCUACAAUGGGCGGUACAAAGGGUCGCGAACCCGCGAGGGGGAGCCAAUCCCAAAAAGCCGCUCUCAGUUCGGAUUGCAGGCUGCAACUCGCCUGCAUGAAGCCGGAAUCGCUAGUAAUCGCGGAUCAGCAUGCCGCGGUGAAUACGUUCCCGGGCCUU
rnacentral:rRNA from 1 species